rnacentral:snRNA from 14 species
UGUGAUGUUAUAUUGCUUUCAAGGCCUUCCUUAAGACCUGAAGAACAAUUUUUGGAAACCCUCUCCUUCAUUGGGCAGGGUG